CCUACGGUGGUAGAAGUCGAGAAGAAUUCACAAAGGGGGAAACCCGGAGGGUGAGACGGCGAGUGGGGGAAUGAAGGUCUUCGGAUUGUAAACCCCUGUCAUGUGGGAGCAAAUUAAAAAGAUAGUACCACAAGAGGAAGAGACGGCUAACUCUGUGCCAGCAGCCGCGGUAAUACAGAGGUCUCAAGCGGUGUUCGGAAUCACUGGGCGUAAAGCGUGCGUAGGCUGUGUCGUAAGUCGUGUGUGAAAGGCGCGGGCUCAACCCGCGGACGGCACAUGAUACUGCGAGACUAGAGUAAUGGAGGGGGAACCGGAAUUCUCGGUGUAGCAGUGAAAUGCGUAGAUAUCGAGAGGAACACUCGUGGCGAAGGCGGGUUCCUGGACAUUAACUGACGCUGAGGCACGAAGGCCAGGGGAGCGAAAGGGAUUAGAUACCCUUGUAGUC
rnacentral:rRNA from 1 species